GCCGAGGUUGGAUGGAUGGAUUUUUUCACAUCUUACGCACAUAUUGUAUCUGUUCUGUAUCAGAUCCUUCACCGUGAUAUGGGCACGCGAGCGGCAGGAGGCAAUGACAGCGGUGGAGGAGGAGAUCACGGGGAAGGAGCCGCUGGAUCUGAUACGACUCAGCCUCGACAAGCGCAUCUACGUCAAUUGAUUCAUGCUUCCUUUUGACAAUAAUAGUAAUUACCACCCUCCAAAAUUUAUGCCUGCAAGUAUGGAUGAUGAGGACAAGCGCCAUAAACAAGCUUCAAGGAGAGAUAAAGUGAUAGCACUAAUGGCAACAGAAAGUUCUUACCUUAAAGAGAUAAUAGAUGAUGCUCUUGAUAGACCUGAAGAGGUUUGUCGACUCUGCUACUUGUUCUAUUUUUCAAGCUAAAUGACAUGUUUAUGCAAUAUUAGAGUGGAAGGCAACGAUGGGUGAUGAAAGCAUGGAAUUUGUGAAGUACAUGGGACAGACAGAGCAGCAAGAGAAACAUGAAGAGGAGUUGUUCACUCGAGCUCCAGUAACAAAACAUGAUAAGCAGAUUGAGAAUCCUCACAUCCGAAUCCUUCGGACGACGAUUGGAUCAGCGUCUUCUCUCCUUCAAGUUUCAGCUCUGAAAUCUGCCAGCCUUAAAAUUACGGGGAUCUCCCGCCUUUGCUGUGCACUGCACCGAUAAAGUUCCAGUUUGCAAACUUCAAGAAUGAUGCCUACAAUAAGAGUGGCAAAUGCUCCUUGAGGCUGCAGCUGAUCAACCAGAGAGCGGAUUUCGCAUUUGCACUCUUUUCUGGAGGCCUCUCGGCUCUCCCCCAUUAAAACUGAUUGAUUUACCUGGGAUAGACCAACGAGCUGUUGAUGAUUUCAGGGUAUAUCUUGAGAGAAUGCAUCUAGGAUAAGGUAUCGCAAAUUUCUACAAGUGUCAUAGCCAAAGUGUUAAGUCCAUUGUGUUGUCCUGGACAAUGGAGUCUCAUGGAAACUUUCCAGAAACUACUGUGAGCAGCACUCCGAUGUGUUGUUUUGGGGACCCAAAUGACUUUAUUUAGUGGUAACAUUUUGUGAGAUAGCAUGAUUCGUUAUCAUCAAAAUGGAACUGCCCCCUGAGGAUAUCUGCAAUUUGCCUUCUUUGAGGAGUCGGGACCAAUCACAAUGUCUUUCAUUGCUUAUGGUUAUCCUCUAUUCAUCAUUUUUGUGCUGCUACAUUUUUUCGCUCCAUAUUAUAAGAUCUACAGAGAGCCAUUAAACAAGGCUUGCAUUCGGAAAAUGUAUACAGAGUUUGUUUGAUUCAGAUUUUUAUGCAGAAGACUUUAGAUGUA